CCUACGGGUGGCAGCAGUGAGGAAUAUUGGUCAAUGGACGCGAGCCUGAACCAGCCAAGUAGCGUGAAGGAUGACUGCCCUACGGGUUGUAAACUUCUUUUAUAAAGGAAUAAAGUGAAGCACGUGUACCUUUUUGUAUGUACUUUAUGAAUAAGGAUCGGCUAACUCCGUGCAAGCAGCCGCGGUAAUACGGAGGAUCCAAGCGUUAUCCGGAUUUAAUUGGUUUAAAGGGAGCGUAGAUGGGUUGUUAAGUCAGUUGUGAAAGGUUGCGGCUCAACCGUAAAAUUGCAAUUGAUACUGGCAGCCUUGAGUACAGUUGAGGUAGGCGGAAUGCGUGGUGUAGCGGUGAAAUGCUUAGAGAUCACGCAGAACUCCGAUUGCGAAGGCAGCUUACUAAACUGCAUCUGACAUUGAUGCUCGAAAGUGUGGGUAUCAAACAGGAUUAGAUACCCCGGUAGUC
rnacentral:rRNA from 1 species